GAUGAACGCUAGCUACAGGCUUAACACAUGCAAGUCGAGGGGCAGCAUUAUCGAAGCUUGCUUUGAUAGAUGGCGACCGGCGCACGGGUGCGUAACACGUAUCCAACCUUCCCUUAGUAGGGCAUAGCCCGGCGAAAGUCGGAUUAAUACCCUAUGUUUUCCAAUGAAGACAUCUGAGCUGGAACAAAGAUUUAUCGCUAAGGGAUGGGGAUGCGUCUGAUUAGGUUGUUGGCGGGGUAACGGCCCACCAAGCCAUCGAUCAGUAGGGGUUCUGAGAGGAAGGUCCCCCACAUUGGUACUGAGACACGGACCAAACUCC
rnacentral:rRNA from 1 species